GACGAACGCUGGCGGCGUGCUUAACACAUGCAAGUCGAACGAUGAAGCCUUAGCUUGCUUUGGUGGAUUAGUGGCGAACGGGUGAGUAACACGUGAGCAACGUGCCCAGGACUCUGGAAUAACCGCGGGAAACCGUGGCUAAUACCGGAUAGGUGCCGAGGCCGCAUGGUCUUCGGUUGGAAAGUUUUUGCGGUUCUGGAUCGGCUCACGGCCUAUCAGCUUGUUGGUGGGGUAAUGACCUACCAAGGCGACGACGGGUAGCCGGCCGGAGAGGGUGACCGGCCACGCAAGGAAUAAAACACGGCACAGACUGCUACGGGAGGCAGCAGUGGAGAAUAUUGCGUAAUGGGGGCAAGCAUGAUGCAGUAGCGCCGCGAGGGGGAUGACGGCGUUCGGAUUGUAGGCCGCCUUUAGUAGGGAAGGAGCGCAAGUGACGUUACCUGCAGAAAGAGUACCGGCUAACUACGUG
rnacentral:rRNA from 1 species